UUUACAUAUUUCUUUUGCUUCAUGCUAGCAAUGUUCAUUAGUUUCAUAUUGUGUUAAAAGGCCCCCGAAGAAGGCUUUUCUCAAAUUUUCUUUUUGUUCAUCAGUUCAUUCUUUUGACUCCCAAAUGUGAAUGUUCUAGUCCCGAGUAGUGUAUAAGUAGUUGGACAAAAUGUAGGUAAUCGUAUCUUAAGGGUCUCUUUAAAAAUAAUAAAAGGUCUAAACAAUGAGUCGGGAAAAUAGUAAGGCCGAA
rnacentral:misc_RNA from 1 species